rnacentral:misc_RNA from 1 species
GUAAGCUCAAUGAGGACAGUCUUCAGCCAAUUUUAAACCAAAACAUCCAGAACCCAGAAACAACAGAAAUUUUUUAUUAGAAUAACCCAUAAAUUGAACCACUAAUGUGGCUAUUGCCCUCAUAGUACCAAAAAUGCUUUGGAAUAUUCACAUUGCAAGAUCCAAAUGCUUGCAGGAAUUAAAAACUUAUAUUGCAUUCUUCACGCAAAGGUAUGUAUAUAACUGGCUAAAACAACACAUUUCUAGUAGUAGAGCAACACAUUUCAGGGUUUUGUGGAAUGGGAUUCAUUUCCCCCCCUUUUUUUAUUUUUCACUAAAGAAGGGUUGCAUAUCAGUAAUGAUGAACAAAUCAGGAACUUCUACUACUGACCUUCCCUGGUAUAAUCAAACCCUU